CUCAAAGAUUAAGCCAUGCAAGUGGUUAUAUUAACCCGACAGUUUAAAUAAGUGUUAGAUGCUAUUUAAAAAUCCUACUNUACAGUGAUUUUAAACUGGUUUUCACAUCAGUAUCACUUACGCAACUGCAGACAGCUGCUUAAUACAGUCACACUUGUCUUGACUUGGCGCUAUAACAAUGGCAUAAAUAUUUUAUGNUUUUUGUUUUCUUACUUCUAAAUCGCAACCCGAUAUAGAAUGAUUUCUCUGUAACGCUAUUCAUAAAAAAUACACGUUACACCGUGCAAUUUUCUUUUUGGAUAACUCAGGGAAAGUUUGGCUAAUACGUACGAGUUUUUACACAAAAUACACACACACACACAAAUAUAUGCACGCAUUGCUGUCUCUUAUUGCACACACAAAAGACUGGCAAUGACACAAAUUAUUACUCAGCACUUAUUGGUAAAUUUUGAUCGCAUCUUUUUGAUGCUUUCAGUUUAAAAUUUAACUGCAACAUGAGAGACAAUAAGUACGCACGUGCUUUGCCUUUUUGGCAUUGCACAUUUUUGCUGAGCAGACUUUGCGAAGUUUACUUUGCGAAGCAGGUCAUACAAGCAUCUACAGCAUCAAGUCACAGGGUUGGCAAGUGUAUUUUUGAACCNUCAAAGCAGUCACGCAUACGGAAGAGUAGUUUCUGAUCCCAUAGAAGGAGCACCGUACAUUGAGAGACCGCUCUUAGUUCUAAGGAACGCAGCAGGCGCGNAANUUGCCCAAUGCUAGUACCCUACAAUGUUUACUGCAUUAACAAUUUACAACGAAAUAAAAUAAAUUUUAUUUAGCGUUAAAUUAUUAUAUAACACUUUCUCUAUUUUCGCUGUCAAUAAAAAAAUUUAUCCUUGUUACGUUGUUAUUCAGUUAAAUAUUUCAUUUACUGAGGCAGUGACAAGCUGUAACGGUUGAGUAUUUUAAUGACAAGUGUCUGGCAUUGCCGCCUGGUUCGCCAGGCUUGGCAGUUCGCCGACGCUUUGUGUGCUCAAUUGGAAUGCGGUGAGUUUAAGCAACUCAGAACCUUUGACUGGUGAUUUUGAAAUAUAUUUCACUGUUCUUGUAUCUGAAUUUCAAGUGGAGGGCAAGUCUGGUGCCAGCAGCCGCGGUAAUACCAGCUCCACUGGCCUAUACAAUCAUUGUUGCGGUUAAGAGGCUCGUAGUUGGAUUGAAUUGCAAAAAACUUGCGUAAUUUUUUUACUGCGUAUAUCAUACACACACACACACACGCAUGAUCCUGCAGUUGAUAUAUUUACGCAUAUUUUUUCAACACUGUGAACAAAUCAGAGUGUACCAAACAUGCUUUUUUUGUGCAUUGAAUGUCUUAUCAUGGGAUGUUGCACUUAAAAAUUNUUUUCUAAAAAAAAGACAAAACACGCAUUACAUACACACAACUUUUGCGUGAAUCAUUUUUUUUAGGAUACAGCUUAAAUGUCGAUGGGGAUAGUUGGAGUCAAGAGUACUGCUGGGCGAGAGGUGAAAUUCAUUGACCCUAGUAAGACUACCAAAAGCGAAAGCACUUGACUAGGCUAUACUCUUUGUGAUUUUGUACGCCAAACAUUUUCAAUACAUACACACACACACACACACAUGCAUUGAAAUGGUUUGCACUGUACAUCACUUUACAAUGAAGAACGAAGGUUGGGGGAUCAAAGAGGAUCAGAUACCCUCGUCGUCCCAUUAAUUACAUCAAACGAUGGGCUCUCAAUUGCAUAUUUUUUUUAAUUUGCAAAUGCCCUCAGCCUACAAAAUAUUUGGCUUGAGCUCGUGAUUUAUUUCACGCUCGCCUUACUUUUUCUGUACGGUCUUGAUGGACGUUUCAUUUUAUACUUUUUUUGCGUGUAAGCAUUUUGUAUUCUUUUAGACUACAUUGCGUGCACUUGAUUUUCGGAGCUUUGCGCUCAAUUCUGGUGAGAUGUAAGCAUUAGGCCAUUCUACCCUCUGCUACUGCUUCGGCGGUUAGUCUGUUGUGUGUAGAUGGCUGUUUUGGUGUGAAGCACGCUUUAGGCACGCGCUUACUGCAGAAAUGUCUGAGACAUUCCCCUCCGGGGGUAGUAUGCACGCAAGUGUGAAACUUGAAGGAAUUGACGGAAGGGCACCACAAGAACGCGUGGAGCAUGUGGCUUAAUUUGACUCAACGCGGGAAAUCUUACCGGGUCCGGACACACUGAGGAUUGACAGGCAAUAUUGAAUUAUUUUUAAUAAUUCAUGUUAAAUAUGCUAGUCCUUUCAUGAUUAUGUGAUAGGUGGUGCAUGGCCGUUCUUAGUUCGUGGAGUGAUCUGUCUGCUUAAUUGCGUUUCACAUAGGGCCUAUAAACACGUGUGUUGCACUUUCUCUUUGACCCCUUCUUCCUUUUUGGAUUUAGCGUGUGUCUUUGAGGAUUAUGCUCGCACAAGUAGGUCCUGAAAGCAACGAACGUGACCGCAACCUCUUGUUGUCCUUUACACAAUCCUUCGCUUUUGUCUUUUGACUUUCGCGGAGUAACAGGGACUAUCUAAACUAGAGGGACCGCUGUAAUCUUUUUAAACCAGAGGAAGGUUGCGGCAAUAACAGGUCUGUGAUGCCCUUAGAUGUUCCGGGCUGCACACGUGCUACAAUGAUUAUUGCAGUGAGCAUCUCAUACUACACACCGCUUGCGCGAAGUCACUUUUGCGUAUCUCAAUUCGUAAUUGUGAUCUUUUGCGCGCGGUAAAGCCUGCUUCGAAAGUAAGCGGGUAAUCAAUUAGAAGUAAUGAUUUCCUUUUUUUCGCACACAUAUAUACGGCAUUGUUACCCGGAAUAGGCUCGUUCUUAUUUUUUGUGUGUAUCAAUGUUCCGUAUGUGCAAUUGUCAAUUCAUGGUGGGGACAGACCAUUGUUAAUUGUUGGUCUCGGUCUUAACUAGGAAUGCCUUGUACGGGUCUUUGGUUCAACAGACCACCCGGAAUACGUCCCUGCCCUUUGUACACACCGCCCGUCGCUCUUACCGAUGGACUUCUCUGUGAGUUUGAGGGACUGGAACUUUGUAUUUUUAUGCAAUACCUCUAUGGAAACUUAAACGAACAGUGUGGUCUAAAGGAAAGAGAAGUCGUAACAAGGCAUCGGUAGGUGAACCU
rnacentral:rRNA from 1 species